UACAAAUUGAUGUUAGUGGACAGUUUUGAUAGCUGCUGUUUCCAGUUCAAGUUCCAGUUUUAAUGGAAAACCUUUAAUGGACAGAGAAAAAUGCCAUUUACUGGAUUGACUUCAACACCUGUUGCCUUUUAACAAUGGCAUAGGAUAGGUAUGGUGGUCAUAAAAGAGAUUUAAAUGGAAUGAAACUUGUGCAGAAGAAAUCAAGGAAAACAAUUUUGAACUGCUGUUACUUAAUAGCUGUUAGAGGCGAUCCAGUUCUUCAUCAAUGGUAUACGCUGGGACAAUUGCUGUUGAAAAACCACAAGCCGUACUAUCUGCAAAUAUUAUGGUGGACAUCAAAAAGCUUCCUUCAUCACUGAUAUCUCUGCAUUUUCUUAACAAUGGAUAUCCCCCCAAUAGUUGCUCCUACUCCUCACUUUCCUCUUUCAUUCAACAUAAAGCAGACUCAUUACUCCUCAAUGUCUCACCAAGGUUCGUUAACUUCAUUAAUAGUGUUAUUGUUUCAAUAAAUUUGUUUAUUGGUUUUUAUCCUCUUACUAUAUAAUUAUAUCA